GUCCCAAGGCUAUCAGACGACUUACAACUUGCCAGACCUGAACCAGGUGAUCAACUUACAAGAGGAGAAAAGUUGACAUUUAAUUGCCCCCCGGCCUGCAGACUAAGCGUGAAAGCAGUGGAUGACUGUUUAGCAGGCGGUCAAUGGAGUGACUCCUUUCCAACAUGUGGAGGUCACCUGCAAAGUUUGUCAUUCCUUCACCUCAGUUGCGGCUGAAGGGCUCAACCAAUC